rnacentral:lncRNA from 10 species
GCCUGGUUCAGACUGGGCUUGGGAAGUGAGUCAGGGCCUGACUAUAUGUGAUAAAGAGAAGCUCCUUGCUUUUAAAGGACAGUAAGGGGGUCGUCUUACACUUAGCAGCCCGGACAGAAUUGAUUUUUUUACAGACCCCUCUGUGGGCGAGUGCCUUUUAUGAAAAAGGCAAAAAUAUUUAAUAAGAAUGAAACCCCCUGAAUGGUCCCGGGUCCUAUCAGAAGCGGGAAGUCCCCUUUUUAAAUGGUCGCAGGCAUCUCCUUUGAUCACACGAUAUCACUGAACAUGCAGUCCUCACACCCCCAACUUCAUUCUCAUCUCAUUUUUCUCCACGGUGCAUGCCAGCCUCUGACACGUGGUGGCCCUCUCUCGAGGGGGUGCUGGUGCCUGACUCCUUUGGACACCCUGUGAAGGCAGGGCCAGACAGGUCGCAAGGGAAAACCAUCGGUCAAGGUGAGUGUUGCAGGCGCCCUGGAGGAAGGCACCGUGUCACCUGCUGGCCCAAGGGCUUCCAGAAUUCCAUGAAUUACAACAGGGAAUGCAUCUGCCAAGCAUCCUAGACCCACGUUUCUGGCCGGCACAGCCUCGCCCUCUGUGGAAAUCAGCAUGAGAGGUGCCACACAGAGGCUGCCUGGAGAGUGGGCUGAACAGGGGGAAGGAGUAAUCCCCCAUGGCCGUCUCCACCCUCACAUCUCCAUCCCUGCCACGUGGGGCCUGGGGUCUGGGCUGCUCUCUGGAUAGCCAGGGCUGUGCUAGGCGCUGCUCAGGCUGGGCUCUCUGAUGGCCCCUAAGAUGUCAGCAAGACCUACCCAUGACACCGCCCAAGCCCAGGGCCUGAGGACGGGAGCCUUGUCCUUCCAGAGCACCGGCUCUGGGGCCUGUGCAGGUGGUGCCCAUCUCUGAGUCUCAGGGUUCUCAUCUGUGCAGUGGGGACAUCAGUGGUGUCUGCAGGACAGGCUGUAGGAGGGUGAAGUUGAAAGCAGGUCUGAGCUGCCAGAGGCCCUGGGUCUGGCCCGCCACACACCUGGGGAGUCAGGGACUGCCUGUCCCCCCAGCAGCUGCCCUCCAUGCCCAUGUGCUGGCCAGAGAACCCUGGUCAGGGGCUGAGACAGUGGUGUGCUGGUGGUCACUAAUACUGACCGUCAUUAAACGUUUAGGAAUGCUGACAGCCAUUGUUACAAAUUAAAUUCUACAAACUGAUGAUUAAAUAAAUUGUAUUAAAAACAAAGGUAGUGAAUAUUCCACUCCCUGUCCUUCCUGGUUGCCUUUCUGCAUCGUCUGUGCUCUUACAGCGACGUCUGCUGCUGGGUCUGUGGUGAAAAUGCUGUAUGAGGCUGUGCUACUGCUCUGCCUGCAGUGACGUCUGGGGACAGCUGCAAAUGGGCACAUGUGGAAGCCAGAGGACUGACUGUCAACCUGUCACCGGAGUGGGCCUGGAUUCCACGGCCAGGGGAGGGGCCGCCAGCCUGGGAUGCAUACAGUCCUCACAGCUCUGGGAGCUGGCUUUCAGGGACUCCUCCUGCAGGGUUCUGUGGGUGCUGCUCUAUGCUCUCUCUCCUUCUGCUGAGGCAUAGGGCUUCUCUACUCGCCCUGGGCCAGAGGAGCCAGGCAGCUGGGCAGCGGAAGGCUCGGGUGCCCUGGACAGGCGUCUGCCUAGCACUGGCUGGCCCGGCCCAGCCAGACGCCUGCUGGCUCAUCCGCACAGCCACCCUGUGGGUGAGGGCUUGGUCUGUUCGAGGGAUGGGGGACCGAGGUUCUGGGAGGGGCUUGCCAAGUCCUGGCAGUCAGCAAAUGGCAGGCAAGGACCUGAGCCCCUCCACUGGAUGUGAGGUCAGUGCUGCCCCAAGCACCUGGGGCUGCCUUCAGUGACAGGAGCAGCGUGGUGAUGUGGGGAGAGGUUCAGCUGGAGGCAGCCACACCACGCAGGACGCUAGGGCAUGGUCCAGGAGCCCUGCACUGGCUGACAUGCACUCCUGAAGUUCUGCCUUUAGAGACUGAUCCCUCGCAACACCCAUCUGCCCUCUCCUUGAGUCCUCCUCCCACGCGCGCGUCCCCAAGAAGAUAAGCAUCAGGGCACCAACGUGCUACUCAAGGUCCUGGGGGCAGCAGCAUCAAGGGAAAGGAGACCAGCAGGCAGAGCAUGGCUGUGGGUGACCUGAAACAGCCACCACUCUCUCCCCCUGGAACCCCGAGGGCCAAGGGAGCAGGAGGGCCUGGCCCUGAGCAGCCUCCCUUCUGCAGAGAAAGGCAGGCAUGGGUGGGCAACACUGGGGCCAGACAGAUGGGGGUGGGCUGGUCUUGGGGGCUCAACUUGGAGGGCAGGGCACUGCCUGACAACGUGGGCAUCAUGCAGAGGGCCGUGCGAGGGCAGCUCGUGGAAAGCGCCCAGAGUGGAGCGCUGGCCCUGGAGAGCAAGGGAUGCUCACGCACGCUGCAACCCGGAUGAACCUCAAGGACAUCGUGCUGAGUGAAAUAAGCCAGACACAAAAGGCAUGGCCUGCAUGAUUCCACUCACAUGAGGCACCUGGAGUAGUCAAAUGCACAGCCGGGAAGUAGAAUGGCAGUUGCCAGGGGUUGCAGGGAGGGGAGUUAGUGUUUAAUGGGCACAGGGUUUUAGUUUUGCAAGAUGAAGGGUUUUGUGGAUGGGUGGUGGUGAUGGUUGCUCAACAGUGCUAAUGUGCUUAAUGCCUCUGAACGGUGCACUUAAAAAUGGUUAAUGGCUGGGCGAGGUGGCUCACGCCUAUAAUCACGCUUUUACCAGGCCCAGGUGGGAGGCUGUCUUGAGGCCAGGAGUUUGAGACCAGCCUGGGCAACAUAGUGAGACCUCAUCUCUACAAAAAAAAAUUUAAGAAUUAGCUGGGCGUGGUGGCACACUGGUAGUCCCAGCUACUCAGGAGGCUGAGGUGGCAUGGGAGUGGGAGGGGUGGUGGGGUGCUGGGGGGUGGGGAGGUAGUGCAGUGCAGCAGAGCAGGGUGUGGGAGGGUAGGGGGAUGGAGGUGUGUGUGUGUGUGGAGGGGGGAGAAUCGCUUGAGCCCAGGAAUUCAAGCUUGCAGUGAGCUGUGAUCCAGCCACUUGAAUUCUUUUUAUUUUUUUUAUUAUUUUUAAAUUAUUUUUUAAGACAGAGUUUCGCUCUUGUUCCCCAGGCUGGAGUACAAUGGCACGAUCUCAGCUCACUGCAACCUCUGCCUCCUGGGUUCAAGCGAUUCUCCCGCCUCAGCCUCCCGAAUAGCUGGGAUUACAGGCAUGCGCCACCACGCCUGGCUAAUUUUGUAUUUUUUAGUAGAGACGCUGUUUCUCCAUGUUGGUCAGGCUGGUCUUGAACUCCCGACCUCAGGUGAUCCGCCUGCCUCAACCUCCCAAAGUGCUGGGAUUACAGGCGUGAACCACCGCGCCCAGCCCAGACUCUUGAAUUCUUAAAGCACAGCUUGCCUUAGGGGCUUCAUAAUGGCCCUAGGGCCCCUGGGGCAUCACCCACAGGGUGUGAGGACCCUCCCCUCACCUCCCUCUCUCCCUGCCUCACUUCCUUCUUUCCUCCCUCCCUUCCCUUCUCAACUGAGCCCCCUACUCAGUGCCAAGCCCUGGGCGCCCUGCCUGGAGGAGUGGGCAGAAUGAUGGGAAGGCAGGCGAGUGUGCUGCAACAGAGGCGAGCCAUGGGCUGUGAGGCAUUGCAGGCAGACAGCAGAGGCAGGAAGCAGGCCUUCCUUCUGGGAAGCAGGAGGAGCCCGGGGAGAGUUGCUAGCUGUGGCCUUCUCAGCCCAGGCCCUCUAGCAACUUGGGGUUUGAGGGUCAAACUUCUUUCUUUAGGUAGGUGAGGAUAGAUGUGGAGGCCUCAGAACCCUGAGUUCAAGUCUGAUCUCAGCUUCUUGCCUACUGCGGUAGGGCAGUCGCUUCUCAGUGACUCAACUUUCCCAGCCACAAGAUGGGUCCAGGAAGAGCCGCUUGGGGAGCAGCGGGGCCGGGAGGAUGGGGUGAAUGACUGCCUGGCUGUGGGUAUCUGCAGCUCCUGCUGGCAAUCCUUCUCACCCGCUCGGUCUCCAGCCAGGGGACAGGGACCUGGGGUCCACACCUCAGCCUGAGGUCCAAGGCCAUCCUCGGAGGAGGCCCCACAUUCGUCCCCCAGGUUGGUGCCCACGCCUGCCCUGGCAUGAAGCCACCCUUUCUCAGGAAGUCCAAGUUACUGAAACAGAUAAAUCAAUCUGUCAAGAAGCCUUGGAGAAAGAAUCUCUCAACUCGCUCAGCCAAGAAGCUCAAAAGGCGAAUUGUUCCCAGAGAUGAAGAAGGAAACAACAGACACCUUCUUCCCAGGCUCUGCCUGCGGCUCUCGAGGCCCUGCCCUCCUCCCCCUGCCCCCAGAGAGCACCUGUAGGCUCAGGGCCAGCCCAGGGACAGGCAUGGCAGCCCCUCGCUGGCUGCUGGGGUGGCGCCCAAUUCCAGAGCCCUGUCUGGGGAAGGAGAGGGCCGAGAGCCACUGUUUGGCUCCUGUCCCAGACCUGACUGGGAGACCUUCUGAAAAACUCAGCCUCCUGAUCAACAGAGGGCAGAAGACCUGAGCCACUGGCCUCCCCAUGGAAGAGGCACUCAGAGCGGUAUGAGGAGUAGUGCUCACCCUGGACAAACUCCCGGAGUCAGUGUGACCGUCGGAGCUGGAGGCUGGGGUGAUGGGGGCCAGGGAAACCAAGCAAUGGCCCCGAGGUAGUGAGGAGUCUCUGGAGGCCAGAUACCCUCAAGAUGGAAAAGGAACAUCCUUGGAGGAUUGGGGUGGCUUCUUCCUGGAGGGAGGAGGGACACAUGCCGGGAUGACAGCCAGCUCUGCCGCUGACCAGCUGUGUGACCUUGUGAAAGUCACUUGAUCUCUCGGCGCAUCAAUUUCCUCAUUGUUGCCUGGGCCUCUUGUGAGAUCUUCCUCAUGGCUUGCAGUGAGGAUUGAAUGAGUCGAUCUGUGCCCCGUGGCCCGGGACAUGGUGAGCAUGUGGUAAUGGCAGCCGUUUUAUCCUGUAGUGUAAUAACGGUGUGCAGCUAGACGUCACUCUGGGCACCUUUUCUCACAGAACUGUCACUGCCGUGCUGCAGGAUGCGGAUGGUUGUCUUCACUCUCCAGAUGAGGAAACUGAGGCUCAAGGAAGGGCGGAGCUGCCUGAGGCUUGACAACUCUGCAGUCUGCAGCUGUGAGAGGGGGCUCUUUCUAGCCACACAGCUUUCCCUGGUUCUCGUGCGCUCUGUGAGCAGGAGGACGGGAAGGGCCGCAGCCGCUGAGGGAGCAGGAGGGGUUCGAUGCAAGCCCAGCUCCCAGCACGGGAAAGCCAGGUCAAGAAACACACGGCCUCUGCUGUGGGGCUGAUCACAGCUUUGUCAAAGAGGAGAUGUGGGAGGGGGGAGGUGAAGGGAGCAGGAAGAAAUGAAUGUCAGAAACAUAAAUAGCCCUGGAACUGAUGGACAGUCUGAGAUCUCUGCGCAGACCUGGGCGCCUGCAGGCUGCCACUCAAACCUGAGCAGAAGGGUGAACCCGCCCUCACCCCACUCCCGGUUCCCUACACGCCCCAGGAAAGGGCUGUUGUGAGCGGAAGGCAUUCGUCGAAAACUGGGAAGGUUGCCCAAGAAAGGCAGAGCGGGAAGCCCUCCGUGGGCAGCAGAACCGGGUGAGUCAGCCCGUCGGAGGGUCCCCCAUGUGGCAGGAAGGGGAGGCACAGGGACUGGGCUCGGCCACCUGGAAACACAGGCGGCAACAGCUGCUCAUGCAUGAAAGGUGACAGCUAAGUGUCAUCAGCCUGGGAGUGCCAGGAUAACGUCACCAGGGCGAGGUGGGCCGCGGGGGUGCAACAGAGGCCCCCUAACUUCCCAGGGGAAAAAGCUCACCACUGUCAGGGACAUGAAAGGACUGUCAAAGAGCCAUGAAACCAGCUACGGGGAUUGGGAAACUUCAGACUCACUUCUGUUUGUUUUGUGACAACAUGGAAGCCACAGAUGUUCUCUCAAGGUAAAAAGAACCACCAGGGACCUCUCUUGGUGUGACCUUCAUCACCUCCUCUGUGUCACCUGUCCCCGCCUCCUGCUUCUCCCCCAGCACAUUCCAAUAGGGCCACACCCAUGCCUGGAGUUUGUGGCAGGAAUCACAGGAGGGGAGGGGCCGAUGGUGGAUCUCAGGGUGGGGGCAGCAGGUGCCAUGUGUCAGGAAUCAAGGCUCAGAUGAAAAGUUAUAUCACGGCAAAGGCAUGUGGCUGCUGAGGACCAGAGCCUAAGGACUGGUCAGUUACCAGCUGUCAAAGGCAGGCCAGAGGCCAAGGAAGAGUGACCAAGAGUACCUUGAGCUAGGAGCUGCGAGCAAGAGGAGGGAAGGGAGGGUGCACAUUUGGAGGACUACCUCUGAACCAGGUGCCAUGCCUGAGGUUCCUUUCCAUGGUUCCAUUAGUAGUUCCUCCUCCUGAUCUUGGGAGAUGAACAUUAUUAUCUUGAUCUUGCAGGUGAAGAAACUGAGUCUCAGAGAAUCUCAGUAACUCACUAAAAGUCCCACAGCUUCUAAGUGACAGGGUCUGUGUGACAACACAGUGAGAAGUCGGGCUACAGCAGGGACUGGCCAAGGGUAGGUAGUCAUGGGAGGAUGGUCUGUGUCUUGAGAACAGACUCAAAUGAUGGGCUUCUCUCUGGAAAGGAGGGGCAUGCCUGAGGUCAAGAAUUAGGAAGUCAUUUUAUCAGAGAAAUAUGGAAUCCAUCAUUUCUAGACCAGGGAUUCCCAAAGAGGUACUGAUGAGAACUAAUUAUGGCCAGUAAAUAACAAAGCACUAUUUUAGAGAGUGCAUGACCCAUUUUGGAGCUCACUACUCUAGAAAAUGGUACACGCUGGAAAUCAGAGAAAGGUUUCCAAAUAAAUCUGUGAUAGGAGAUACCAGAGAGACCAUGAAAUGUCCAUGGCAUGGAGAGAUUCUGAAUGGGAGGCACAAGGAGGCUGAUCAAGGCUUGGCAGGCUGGGCUGCCCAAUAGGAAGAGACAGGCUUUCAGGAAGAGGUGGGUUCCCUUUUGAAAAGGACAGCAAGUUUUUCUGCUUGACAGUAUCCAUCUCCCUCAUCUGGUGUAAGCACUUCUUCUUCCUUAGGGACUAUCCCUCCUCAACUCUCAGACUGCGUGGCUCUAUAAGAUUGACCCUGCCCCCUGGCUCCAAAGAAGCAACAUGACUCAGGCAUGGCCAGGGAGAGUGACCAUGUUGAGUUUAAGGAAAUCUAGUCAGAAAGAAUUAGCCCCAGGGCUGUAGUGGGAACCUCUAGGAAAGGAACUUUCUGGGCCAGGUUUGCUCAUCGAUGGAGCUGUUGGGGAGCAGUCAUCUUGGUGUAUGUGCAGGCAGGUAUGUAAGGGGACAGGGUGUAGGGGGGGACCUCAUGAAUCAAAUAAAACUUCCCUAGCAUCUGUUGUUCUUUCCUCUUCCAAUGGCCCAUUUGGUGAUCCCACUCCUCCAUACCAAGCAGACUGAUGGGGCUCCACCACAGGUAAGGCCAACUAGCAUAUCUCAUUCCCAUGACUACAGUCAUUGGUGCAGAGAUGGGCAUGUGAUCUAAACUACACUAAACAGAGUUGAUCUCAGGAUGUUUAAAGGAACUAUUAGAAAGAAGAUUCUCAGCCCGGUGCGGUGGCUCAUGCCUGUAAUCCCAGCACUUUGGGAGGCCGAGGGGGGCGGAUCACAAGGUCAGGAGAUCGAGACCAUCCUGACUAACAGAGUGAAACCCCAUUUUUACUAAAAAUGCAAAAAAAAAAAAAAAUUAGCCGGGCAUGGUGGCGGAUGCCUGUAGUCCCAGCUACUCAGGAGGCUGAGGCAGGAGAAUGGUGUGAACCCGAGAGGUGGAGCUUGCAGUGAGCCGAGAUCGUGCCACUGCACUCCAGACUGGGCGACAGAGCGAGGCUCCAUCUCAAAAAAAAAAAAAAAAGAAAAAAAGGAAAAAAAAAGAAAGAAGAUUCUCUUGCUGGCCAUAUUUGAACCUGGGAGGAUGGCGGAAUCUCUGCUUCUGCAGCUGUUUUGUCACCAUGAGGAGUCAUCUAUCUGAGAACAGAGCCAGCACAGAAGAAGUGGAUCCAGGAGGUCGAGAAACAGAGAAAUUAGGCCCUGGGUUUUGGUCCUGAAUCAAAUGGACUAACUGUAACUACAACUCUGGACUUUUCGGUCAUUAAGACAAUUAAUUCACCUUUUCUUAGGUCUGUUUAUGUGGGCUUUUCUGUUCCUUACAAUUAAAACAAUCUUGAAUAGAGUCAACAAAAAGAGGACUCUUAUUCCAAGAACUAGAAAUGAUUGAACAAUCUAGAAUUUAACAAUGAAAAAGAGAAAUCAUAAAAUAAAUAUGAUUAAAACAUUAAAAAGAUAAACUAAGAAAAGAAUCAUAAAAGACAAACGUGAACAAUAAUCAGAUUUCAAGAAACAAACAAAAAAAAUAACAUUAACAACUCAAUAGAUCAGUUAAAGAGAUGGUUUAGUAUAGCCGAAGACAGAAGUGGGGAGUUGGUUGGUAGAUUUGAAAAAAACUGCAAAACACAAAGUUAAGGAAAAUGUGGCAGUGAUGUGAAGAGACUGGUGGACAGAGUGAGAUGGUUCAGAUGCAUAUUCUCUCCAGAAUGAGGGAGUAGGGGAAAAAGGUCAAAUAAGCACAUCAAGUUCCAAGCAGGUGAAAUAUAAACAACACAUAGACACGUCAUUAUAAAACUGCAAACACAGCAGACAGAGCGAAUGAAGAGACAGACCGAUGAAAAAGGAAUGAUAAUUAAGCUGACAGCAGACCUCUCAGCAGCAACAACUGAUGCCAGGAGACAAUGGGAUAAGAUCAUCACAGAACUAAAGAUUUGACUGAAAAGCACUGAUGUCCACUAAACAAUCAUUCAAGAAUGAGGAUGAAAUAGACAGUUUUGAAACAAAGAUUGAAUGGAUUUAUACUCAUAACCUCUCACUGGAGAAUUAGAAAAGGAUUUUCUUCAGUAAGAAGAAAGCUGAAUCCAGAAAGAAGGAAUAUGAUGAAGGUGGCAAAGUAAGCAAAGAAAUGAGUCAGCAUGUUGAUUAUGAGUUUCAGCUCUACGUA